GUGAAACCGCGAAUGGCUCAUUAAAUCACACCUAAUCUACUGGAUAGCCUACUUACUUGGAUAACUCAGGUAAUUCUUGAGCUAAUACAUGCCACAAAACCCUGAACCUAGGUAAGGGGUGCUUUUAUUAGAUCAAAACCAAACAGCUUCGGCUGUACUCUUGAUGACUCUGAAUAACUUUGGGCGGAUCGCAUGGCCUUGCGCCGGCGACAAAUCCUUUGAAGGUGUGCCCUAUCAACUGUUGACUGUGGCAUAGACGCCCACAGUGGUUUUGACGGGUAACGGGGAAUUAGGGUUCGAUUCCGGAGAGGGAGCCUUAAAAACGGCUACCACAUCCAAGGAAGGCAGCAGGCACGCAAAUUACCCAAUGAACAAAGUUCGAGGUAGUGACGAAAAAUAACGAUGCAGGACUCAUCCGAGGCCCUGCAAUUGGAAUGAGUACACUUUAAAUCCGUUCCCGAGGAUCUAUUGGAGGGCAAGUCUGGUGCCAGCAGCCGCGGUAAUUCCAGCUCCAAUAGCGUAUAUUUAAGUUGCUGUGUUUAAAAAGCUCGUAGUUGGAUCUCGGCAGCUGGAGGGCGGUACACCUUGUGGUGUCACUGCCCUUUUAACUGUAGGCUGUUUUGCCAGAGACCUGUGGGUGCCCUUGAUCGGGUGUCCGCUGGCGCUGGCGGGUUUACUUUGAAAAAAUUAGAGUGCUUAAAGCAGGCUCUUAGGCCUGAAUAUUCGUGCAUGGAAUAAUAGAAUAGGACGUUGUUUCUAUUUUGUUGGUUUUCAGAAACUAACGUAAUGAUUAACAGGGACAGUUGGGGGCAUUUGUAUUCAAACGACAGAGGUGAAAUUCUUGGACCGUUUGAAGACAAACUACUGCGAAAGCAUUUGCCAAGAAUGUUUUCAUUAAUCAAGAACGAAAG
rnacentral:rRNA from 1 species